rnacentral:tRNA from 1 species
UAGAAAAACAGGACCUGAACCUGCACCAAAGAACUCAAAACUCUCCGUACUCCCACCUAUACUAUUUUCU